GACACAGAGAGAGAGAGAGAGGGAGAGACACAGACAGACAGACACACACACAGAGAGAGAUAGAGAGAGAGAGAGAGAGAGAGAGCGAGAGGGAGAGAGGGGCAUUGUGGUUGAAUACAGACAGAAAGGCUUUCAUCAACUCAGUCGUUCAGAAAGUUCUCUGUAUCGCGGUCCGCUUUACCGCCAUCAAACGCAAACACACGCGUUCACUGGAAUAUUAAAACUGGACAAGUUGUCAAGGACUCACAGCCACUGCAGAGUUAAGUGAACUCUAUAGCAACGAUGAAGAUGCUUCCCUAAAAUAUUUCACUCCACACUUCACCAAUUGUUAACAUCAGCCAAGUCAGCGGUUUAUUUGGCCAUCCGUGGGAAUAUAAACCGACGUUGCCUCCAGCCAUGUUGUGUAUUUCAGACAUGCUAACAGCAUAUCCUACAAGUACAGAAGACCGUGAGUGCCGAUGUAGAGUCAUUUGUAUGCAGCAUUAACUUGCAUGAGUGCUUUUUGCUAGUCUUAAUGGUGUCGGUCUGAGUGGUAUUAAUCUCUUGUGUUGUGUUAGCCAGUCUUAAUGGUGUGAGCCUGUCUGAAACCGCCAAAUAGGGAGAUGUGUCUGCCUGCCUCAGUGAGCUAUAGUGAGCUUGUGUUAAUGGUCUGCUGAGUUCAGUCAUAAAAUAUUUCUGGUAAAUCUUUAGUGACCUUAUGACAUUUACUGUAAUGGACGUGCUACUUACUUCACGCAAUACUUGCUUCCUGUUUAUUGCCUAAUUGCUUAAUUUGGAUUUUAAACUUACUGAAUGCUUCAAAACUACUUCAAAACUUUGAUAAUAUGUAUUCUGGCCAGUGAGAGGAAAAGAAACCGAGUACGAGGGGGAGAGUGAAUUUCAGGAUGAUGGCCCAUUCCAUCAAGAUGAUUCAUCAUGCAGGGCGCCUCUAGGGUUACGUUGCUUUACUUUUUGAAAAUACAAACACACGCGCAGUCUGUUCCUGAAAUAAUGUUUUUAUGUUAUAAGCUUACAUAAGGCUAGCCUGAUUUAUGCUUACUUUAUGUUAAAAAACGAACUUGAAUGAAUUUUAGUGAGCUGCUGUAAUGUACUUCCUGGCUGCAUCACUCUAUAGCUAAUGUAUAAGAUUAAAUCUCAGGGAAGUAUAUAAUUUAUGCAUAUUCCUGCCCAGUGUCUUGGCUCAGUAUCUUCUUUUCAUUCCAAGCAAAGAGAGAACUUGAUUUUGCAAUUUGAUUCUGCAUUUCUAUGCUCUUCUCAUCCUAAACAUAGUCUCAGCCACAGACGGCACACCCACGGACCGCCCACAGUCCACUCACUGACCGUCUGCAUAUUGGACACAAAACUGGAAUGUACUUUGACAAUCUGGCAAGCUGCUAUCUGAUUGGCUGGCUUUGUGCAGCUCAGGGCACACAGGUUUCUUUUACUCAGUCCACUGCAAGCACAGUCAUGUUUACAUCCGAUUCAGCAAGCGCUUUAUUAUAUUUAUACAAUGCAGAUUGUGUCAAAGCAGCUUCAGAGUAAUAAACAGGAAAAAAACAAUCUGUAUGUUGCAAAGUUCACCAAACAACUCGAAGUUCAGCUGUAAAACAGCUCUACAGAAUACCAGGGUCAUUUUAGUAGCAUUGAAAUACUAUUGUAGUUUUUAUUAAUAUUUUGAAUUAGUUAAAAAAAAUUUAUAUAUAUUUUUUGGUUUUCACUUUAAUUUUAAAGUAUUAGUAAAUUAGUUUUUUUUAAUAUUGUUUUCAUUCAUUUUUAUGUCAGUUUUAGUUAUUUUAGUACAUCAAGAUAAACAAAAUGAUUUUUUUUUUGUAUUUUAUUUUAUUUCAGUUAAACUUUAUUUUAUUUUAAGUAACAAAAUUGUUUUAUGGUUUUUCAGUUCAAUAACAGUGUCAGUGUUGCAAAAUUAAUCAAUUACGCUAUAAGCAUAUUCAAUUCAGCUAUAAGAAGCUCUGUAGAAGACAAUAGUGUCAUUAUUCAGCUCAGUUCAGUUCAAUGUUGAUUUAGUUCACUCACUGGAUUUGCCAAAGUUAUCAAAUCUUCAGUAUUAAUAUUAUUUUUAAAUUUUAAUAAAACUAAAAUAGUUCAUUAAAUUUAAACAGUUAAUUAAAAUUAUUCUAUUUUAGUUCUAUUUUAAUAUUCAAAAUACAAAUAAAACACUAAAAACUAAAAUUAAUUUUAAAUGCUACAAGUUAAUGCAUGUACAUUUUUAAAUAUAAUAUUUUUAUUUUUUUAUAUUACUAUUUUAUAAUGUACAGCAUGAAACAAUGAUAUUCAUUUUGAGAUUUGCUACAUUUGUGUUAUUAAAUUAUUAGUGCUAUUAAAGAUUUACUGUAAGUGAGCAUUAAAUGAUGGCAAUGUUAAAUUAAAUGCAAAAAUAGAGGAAAUUAACAUGAUCAUGAAUUUACACACACACACACACACACGUACUUGAAUUUGUGGUUUACGGGGACUCUCCAUAGGCGUAAUGGUUUUUAUGCUGUAAAAACCGUAUUUUCUGCAUGUCCUGAUAUUGCCAAGUGCGAAGUGUUCCUGGGUCAACAUCUUUGUUGACCCUGGAACAACAUUGUGAUUAACCAAUCAGAUUUCAAGAACCAGUUUAUAAUUUUUGUGAAGUUUAGGAUUAUAAUCAGUGUUUGGUGCUUGUACAUCAGUGUAAUUCAUCUAUCAGUUCCUCUGAUUUUAGGGAUUACUCAUAGAUAAGGUUAAGUUUAGGUGUAGGAAUAUGGUUAAGAUUAUAUUUUUGGAUUAAAAUGUUGUUCCAGGGUCAACAAAAUAUGUUGACCCAGGAACACGUCGCACUUGGCAAUAUCAGGACGUGCGUAUUUUCUAUUGCCCAACACCUAAACCUACCACUUACAGGAAACUACUGGCAAUUUUUGAAUUUCAUAAAACCCCGUUUAGUAUGUUUUUUAAGCCAUUUGUUUUACGGGGACACAGGAAGUGUCCUCAUAAACCAUGUUUUCAUUGUAGUACCCAUGUCAUUAUACACAUUUGUGUCCUCGUAAACCAUAUAUACCAGUACACACACACACACACACACACACGCACACACACACAGGCACAUGUUUAUAUAUUUGUUCUCAAUGUUUAUAUAUUUUUUUUAAUGUUACGGUAAAGCAAGCAAGUCAGUCAGACAGUCUCUUCCUGUCUUAGUAGACUGUUUUUCGCUAGAAUAGGCUGCAAUGAGGACCAGACCUCUUUUUAAUCAGAGAUUUGGCUACGCAAGACUAUGUAAACCACAAACAGAGAGUCAUUGGCCUUCCCAAUGCCCCCUUCCCCCAAUAAAGGGUAUUUAUAGCACCUGCUCUGGGUAGUGAAUAGGUAUUAUCAACAGGCACAGAAUUAGAUCAGAUUAAAUCCUAAUAUGAUUUUACUUGAGGCGUCAGGCCCCCUGAGGCUCAGUUCUGCACUCAGUCUUUCAUGUCUAUUUGGAGCAGAAACAUAAACAUUGUUCAGCAGUAUCAAUGGAGGAAGAGAGUUCACUUCUCCCCCUCUCUCUUCUGGUCAUCUGUGCCAGGAGCUUUGGUCUGCUGCCCUCUUUAAUGAUGCAUGGAACAUUAGCCAGCCACUAUCCCAAGAUAGGACGAGGCCAAUGGCAUUCUCUGGUCAAAGAGGCUGCAUUGUUUGGGUUCAGAAUAGCAUGGUCUACUGAGAAAGGGGAGAACAAAGUGUGCUGUCUGUCGAGUUUGUUUUCUAAAAUUGUUACCACAAUCCUAAUUUGUGAUUGCUGCAAAUUACAUUUUAAUGUCUUUCAUAUUCAGUCAGAUUUCUGCCAUGCACGAAGCGUUUGUUAGGCAGAUGAUGUUCGAAGUAAUUUACAUAUAUACAGGUUUAUCUAACUUAUUUUGACAUUUUAAUUAGGUUACACUUCAUUGUGAAAGAUCUGAUUUACUAUUGUGUUCAUUUAAUGCAAGGGUUUUCCAGCUGGGGUCUAAUUUUUUAAUUGUGGAAGCUUUUUAGAAUUGCAAGAUAAAAACUUCAUAAAAAGUCAGAAUUAUGAGAUGUUUAUAACUCACAUUUCUGAAAAGAAAAGCCAGAAUUGUGAGAGAUGAACAUGCAAUUUUUUUUAAAAAUAAUUUUAGUCUGUGGCAGAAACCUAAGAAAUGGAAUUGUGAGAUGUAAACUCAGAAUUCAGAGAAAAAAGUCAGAAUUGUGAGAAAAAAUGUAAUAAAAAAUCUGAGUUUCAGAGUUUAUAGAGUUGCGAGAAAAAAGUCUGAAUUGCCAUAAAUAAAAUUGCAAUGACAUUUUUUUUUAGUUUUCUUUUCCUGUGGCUGAAAUGGGCUUCCAUAGAUAGAUAGAUAGAUAGAUAGAUAGAUAGAUAGAUAAAUCAGCAUUAGUUAUGAUUAUUCCAUUGACAGCCCUGGUUAGAAAUACACAUAAAAACAACAAUAAUAAAACAAAAUAAAAACAAAAUCGCCUAUAGUUUUGUGAAAGAAAAUAAUUCCAAUAAUGGAUAAUAUAUAUAUAUAUAUAUAUAUAUAUAUAUAUAUAUAUAUGUCACAAAAUUCCAUGUAUUUUAAUAGUGUCUUUGAAAUACUAAAAGAAAACAAAAUGUUUAAUUUUGUAUUUUGCAAAUUAAUUAAAUAAUAACCUGUUGUCUUUAUAAUGUUAAUGGGAUCUUAUACUGUACAUGAAAAUACAUAGCUGCCUACAUAUUUUAGUAAAGAAAUCGCUUGCAAGGAAAACAUUAUAUUUAAAGUUCUUUGGCAUAAAAAAACCCAAAAGGUUUGAAAACCCCUGGUUUAAAGAGUGAAGCUCUGAUUAAACUAUAAAAAAAAAAAAAAAAAAAAAAGAUCAAUAAAAACAUAACAAAGAGAAGGAAAAAAACAAGGAUAUAUUGUGGUAGGUAAGAGGAAAAUAGUUUUUAAGGAAAAUGAAAGCUGCUUUCCAUAACCUGCAUUCGGGGGUGGAGAAACAUAGAAGAAGAGGAUGAGAGAGAGAAAAACUAAAGCAAAUAAGAAAGGAUUCUUAGAGUUAUUUGUAGCUCACGUCUGUUCAUUCGCACAACGGAUGCUCUAUAACGAAUCUCCCAUCCCUCUGUUUUCAAUUUGUAUCUCAACUCUUUAUAUCGUAAGUCCCAGGCAGCAGAUUUAAUUAAGAAUCCAGUCCAAUACAUCGUUUAUUUAUGAGAUAAAUUCAAGUGGCUGUUAUCUGACGGUAUAGAAUCGGCGUGACUUCGCAUUUUUAUGCACAACUGCACUGCUGACAUUUGCUACAUAUUAUCCUUGUGAAUUGUGCAUUGGGAUGGUAACAAAGAACAGGCUAUUGAUUAACUGGCAAGAGAAACUUGGAUCUAUUGUUGUACUGUGUGUGUAUCUAGGACAUAAAAGGUCUGGGAAGAAGUGUCCUGGCUUUCCCAUCAAGCACACAAUGGUGUUUCAACGGUGUAUUGUCAGGAAACAGAACAGUUGAACACAUGGGCAGAGAGCUGUUAAUUAUGUUAAAAAAUGUACAAAUGAAUAAAAUAAACAAAAAAUAUAUUUUUUUAUAAAAAUGAAAAUAAUUGAAAUGGUUAAAAAAUAUUUUAUUAUUAUUUUUUAAUUAAUUUAAAAAUGAUAUUUAAAUAAGAGUGUGAAUUAUACUGUUGUAAUCAUCUUAAUAAAGAUGGUUCAAUCUCUCUUUCUUCCCUCAUAACUGAGAAGUGUUUAUUCACAUAGGCUGCCGAAUGAAGCACCUGAGGGAACUUCUCUUCUCUCAUCUCUGUUUAAUUACACUUCUUUUCUUCUGUGCUACUGCUCUUUUCAGCGUGGAUUACAUAAACUGUUUCCCCCAGCCUCCUUGCUCUUGUGCUACACACGCUGCACAGCAUAGCACAAUAAAGCCUUCCAUCAACAGCAAACCACAUGCCUCAUGUUUCAAGAGCUGAGACACAAACAUCUUCUUCAAGCUGCAAAACAAAUCUGCCAAACCGAAGAUGAGCCUGUCAUCAUAUAUAGAUGCUGGAGUAUCAGAAGGAGGAAUAAAGGAGCAUUGAGAAUUUUAUUUUAGCAAGAGUUCACGUAACAUCACCCAUAAGUGCAUCUGUCUGCCAGAUGGGUGCCAAAUUACACAAGAUGUCGCUAAUAAUAACUGCCAUAUUAUUUAUGCCCAUGUAUUUAUCAGCUUAGAAAAACACAAGUAGCAUUUUAAUGAGAAAAGUUAGUGUCAUGUGGCUUUUUAGUGAAUUUAGCCAUUGAUUUAGUAAAGUUUUGCAUGCAAAAUAGGAUCUUGAUUGAAGAUGUAAUUUGGGCGUGUCUCCAUAAAAGUGCACGAUAAAGGGGAGUGUCAAUGCAAAUAGAAUACAUUGUGCCCUGAAAGUAAUUUCAGAAACUGAGUGUGAUAAUUAAUACGACUGAACGGCAGGUAUUAAUCUGAUUUGGGUUUUACGCCGGUCUGCUGUCACAAUGAUAAAAGGGAGAUGUUGAGAACAGAGAACACACAGAUGUGUAUUGCUUUAUUGCAAAAAAUCAUUUCUUGUGAGAUUAUGAUAUGCAAUUGUUUUAUUAAUAAUUGCAUUCAGCACAAAAAAUCAUUGCUGAAUGCAUUAUAUUCAGCACACUAUAACUGUAAGAAAAAAGAUACAACAACUACAAUGUCCUAAUUUGUCUUUCCAGAUUCCUAGUACUUCCUACUGAGCCUUGUUUAAUCAAACGUGUCAAAGUCUUUUCUAGCUCUACAGGGAUAGAUGAUGUGGUGCGCACAGAACCAGUUUUUGAUAUUAAAGGGAUAGUUCACCCUAAAACAUAGUACGUAUUAGGAUAUUUUGAACAAUGUUUCAACUCUUUAUGCCCAUAUAGUGGCUUUCACUAGGCAAACAAAAUAAUUUUUUUCACAGUAGCUUCUUUUGUGUUAUGUUUGGAACAGCAUCACUUUAGGGUACACUGUCUCUGUCAUUAAGGGUGAAUUUAAUUUAUAUAUCUUUGUCUAUUUUACCAUUCUCUUCAGGGAGAGACAUUUUCAUAUGCUGUCUAGUGUUGAGGAGGAAACUAGAGCAUCUGAGGUUUUUCAAAGAGUGACUGUAUUAAUUGAACUGUCACUCCCAAGGCUUUUUCUGGGUUGUGUUUGUCAGAUGUCACGUCACAUCCUUGUACCCAGAGUCUUCAGUCAUCUUCAAGUCUUUUGAUACUCACCAAGUAUUUGUUUUCUUUUCCAUUUCAUUUGGAGGACAUUUAAUCAGCACAGUCAGGAAACAAGAAAACAGAAAAAAAUCAUGCAGUAAUAUUGAAGACAUGCAACAUAUGAUACAUGUCCCAGACUUUCAGUUAUUAUUUAGAAGUUUUUGCUAUUCUCUAACAUUAUGAAUAAUUAAUUUUAAACAGUUAAUGCUAGAUAAUAUAGUGGGGUUAAAGGAAUAGUUCACCCAAAAAUGAAAAUUGUGUCAUUAUUUACUCACCCUCAUAUUGUUCCAAAUUUACAGGUGCUGGUCAUAUAAUUAGAAUAUCAUCAAAAAGUUUAUUUAUUUCACUAAUUCCAUUCAAAAAGUGAAACUUGUAUAUUAUAUUCAUUCAUUACACACAGACUGAUAUAUUUCAAAUGUUUAUUUCUUUUAAUUUUGAUGAUUAGAGCUUACAGCUCAUGAAAGUCAAAAAUCAGUAUCUCAAAAUAUUAGAAUAUUUACAUUUGAGUUUGAAUAAAUGACCAUCCCUACAGUAUAAAUUCUGGGUAUCUCUUGUUCUUUGAAACCACAAUAAUGGGGAAGACUGCUGACUUGGCAAUGAUCCAGAAGACGAACAUUGACACCCUCCACAAAGAGGGUAAGUCACAGAAGGUCAUUACUGAAAGGUGUGGCUGUUUACAGAGUGCUGUAUCAAAGCAUAUGAAAUGCAAAGUUGACUGGAAGGAAGAAUUUGGGUAGGAAAAGGUGCACAAGCAACAGGGAUGACCGCAAGCUUGAGAAUACAGUCAAGCAGAGCUGAUUCAAACACUUGUGAGAGCUUCACAAGGAGAGAACUGAAGCUGGAGUCAGUGCAUCAAGAGUCACCACGCUCAGACGUCUUCAGGAAAAGGGCUAACAAGCCACUUCUAAACCAGAGACAACGUCAGAAGCAUCUUACCUGGACUGUGGAGAAAAAGAACUGGACUGUUGCUCAGUGGUCCAAAGUCCUCUUUUCAGAUGAAAGUAAAUUUUGCAUUUCAUUUGGAAAUCAAGGUCCCAGAGUCUGAAGGAAGAGUGGAGAGGCACAGAAUCCAUGUUGCUUGAAGUCCAGUGUGAAGUUUCCACAGUCAGUGAUGAUUUGGGCUGCCAUGUCAUCUGCUGGUGUUGGUCCACUGUGUUUUCUGAUGUCCACAGUCAACGCAGCCAUCUACCUGAAAUUUUAGAGCACUUCAUGCUUCCUUCUGUUGACAAGCUUUAUGGAGAUGCUGAUUUCAUUUUCCAGCAGGACUUGGCACCUGCCCACACUGCCAAAGGUACCAAAAGCUGGUUCAAUGACCAUAGUGUUACUGUGCUUGAUUGGCCAGCAAACUCGCCUGACCUGAACCCCAUAGAGAAUCAAUGGGGUAUUGUCAAGAGGAAGAUGAGAGACAACAGACCCAACAAUGCAGAUGAGCUGAAGGCCACUAUCAGAGCAACCUGGGCUCUCAUAACACCUGAGCAGUGCCACAGACUGAUCGACUCCAUGCCACGCCGCAUUGCUGCAGUAAUUCAGGCAAAAGGAGCCCCAACUAAGUAUUGAGUGCUGUACAUGCUCAUACUUUUCAUUUUCAUACUUUUCAGUUGGCCAAGAUUUCUAAAAAUCCUUUCUUUGUAUUGGUCUUAAGUAAUAUUCUAAUAUUUUGAGAUACUAAUUUUUAACUUUCAUGAGCUGUAAGCUCGAAUCAUCAAAAUUAAAAGAAAUAAACAUUUGAAAUGUAUCAGUCUGUGUGUAAUGAAUGAAUAUAAUAUACAAGUUUCACUUUUUGAAUGGAAUUAGUGAAAUAAAUCAACUUUUUGAUGAUAUUCUAAUUAUAUGACCAGCACCUGUAUAUGAACUUCAUUCUUCUGUUGAACACAGAAGUAGAUAUUUUGAAGAAUGUUGAUAACCAACUGAGUGCCACAGUAUGGAAAAAAUACUAUAGCUAGUCAAUGACUGCGGCAACUGUUCUGACAUAAAAUAUUUCUACAAGCAAAAUAAAUUAAUUAAUUAAAAAUGGGAAACCAAAUAUUAAGACAUUCAAGCUGAUUUUUCAAAAAUUUUUCUCAGAUGUUUGUUAAUUAUUAUUAUUAUUAUUAUUAUUAAAAAAAAAAAGCAAAACAAAUGCAUUUUGAUCUCUGAAAGUUGCUAUGUACUGUAUCAAAAUGUUUUGUUGAGUAUUUUUGGAUCUACAUUGGUAUUUCAGCACAGCUUUAACGCAUUAAUAAUCAUUGCGUAUAAACAGAUACAGCUACCCAAACAGCUAACUAAACCUGUUUCUCCUUUCCUAAUGAAAGUUCUGGAAAAAAACAGAUUAGGGAAAAGAUUAAAAGGAAAAUGAGUGAGACUAAAACAGAGAUGUGACACUGCCACAAUGCUUUGAAUAGGUGACUUCAAUAUAUAACCAAGUGCAUUUUGCACAGAUUAUUCAGUUUGAUGUAAUAAGUAUAUACUAAUAUAACUGACUGAUGCCAUUUCAGACUCGGCUCCACUGAGCUUCAUUAUUCAUCUCUAUUGGCUGCCACAUUCGUUCAUUUCCUCUCACUUGUACUGACUGUAGAAUAGAUGUUAUCCCUGCGUGUUUUCCCUCUAUUGACACUGCACAAAUGGAAUGUGUACUUGUUAGUCUAUAUGUGUGUGUGUUUGAGCUUGUGUGUAUUAGAGGAGAAUUUAGAUUAACUCAGAAAGAGAUGAGAGCAAGCGUUUUGCUUUUUGUGUCUUCUUUGAGCUGGAGAGCGGGAUUGUAAUUUCACAAACAGACUCACCCACAUAUACAACCAAGAGUGCAUAUUUAGAUAGAUAGAUAGAUAGAUUCUUUAUGGCCACUGUAUAUGCAAAGGCAUCCACAAUAGUAAUGUUUGACAUCUACUGCUACGUUGCUCCUCAUGAUUUUCCUAUGUGUAUCGUUGUUUGUCUCUGUGCUACAUUAUGGGCUCCAACUUGAGCUACUUUCCUUCCUAGAUCCUUGGCAUUCCCUUCCAUCCACCCGGAUCCAUUCCUGCAUUCUCUGAUCCGUUAGUCAUGGCACUGGCUGGCACAGACAGAGCAGCCACUGUGCUCGGAGGCAGUGGUCCUGACAGCCCUGCCACCCUGUUUAUAUGACUCUGGAAAUGGAUGAGGAAGGGGGUAAAGAGAGAUGUAUGUGAAAGAUGUCCUGCAGCACUCCCAUGAAGGAACAUCACAGCAUCCUGACAUCAAACAGUCCUUCAAGUGUAGUGAAAGCGAAUGAAAGUUGAUCAAAUUGAAAAAAAAAAUGAAGAUGAUAGUUCACUCAAAAAGAAAAAAAGAACAGAAAAAUUAUUUACACACCCUCAUUUCAUUCCAAAACUGUAUGUUUUUUUUAUUUUAUUUUUAUAAAUUUUUUUGUAUGGACAAAAUUGUUUAUGUUCUGCAAUACAGGACUGGAAUGUCAUGAAUGUGAGGCCCCGUUUACACUUGUGCAUUUUCGUUUUAAAACGCAUAACUUUUGCUACGGUUACACCUAUCGUUUACACUACUCCGGCGUUUUCGAGGUCGUAAAACAGAGACUUUUGAAAAUGCUGCAGACCCUGUUUUACUUGGAAAAUGCAAAAUGCAAAAACAUUCCCCAUUCGACCACUCCAAGCACGCAGACGCAUCCGCCAUCUAAAUAAUAGGGCAUCUACGCUAAGCUUCAAGCUACACAUGACAAUUAAUGAGAUGAAUACAACACUUCUACUUGAAUGCCACUAUCAAUCACUACUGAGUGUUUGUAAUAACUUCUGACUGCGAUCCAAUGUGGAUUUUGGUCAAAUGAUGAGGCAGAAAUAUGUUGUUUGUAACAUUCUAGAAGAAUUUUAUCUGGAAGAUACACAGUUACAACUUCUGUGGGGCGUGAAGAAAAAGUAAUGUAACUAGUAGUGUAACUAAUUACUGUUGCCAGAAAGUAAUAAGUAAAGUAACAAUGCUACUUUUGAAAGGAGUAACUAGUAAUGAGUAAUAUAUUACAUUCUUUGAGUAACUAGCCCAACACUGUUGAUUAGUGUGUAAAUGAUGACAAAACUUUCAUUUUAGGGUAAACUAUCCCUUUAACCUGUAAUAAGCUUGUGUCAGCUUUGCAUUAACAACAUCAGAAGCAUCAAUAGGCAGUACACUGUCGAGCUCCUCACUUGUGGUUUUGAUUGACAGAUAUAAUGAUGGAGCUUCUCAGUAAUGAAUCAUUGAGCUGUGGACUGCUGUGGCGUUCCCGCAGUGAGUGCUCAUUUCAACACUAACGCAUCCUCUCGCUGUCCCGGACUCCUCCUCUACUUCAGUCAGAUCUGUAAUGAAAACACGCUCACAGAUGCCUCACCUCCCCACACUUAGAGCUGGGUUUGUUAUUCUGAAAUAUAUUUAAAGUGACAGCACACAUCAGCCCAGCUCCAUGCUAAAGUCAUCAGAAAUUUAACGCUCGUGCUUAAAAUAGACACCCAUGCUGACAGCGAUGCUACGGUUUACCUCAAACUCUUAUUUUCGACUCAGAUAGCGAGACCUCACUUAUUGCCAAUCAACGUGACUCAGAUGUCACUGGAAUGUCAUUUGAGGUCAUCGUACAAAUACAAACACUCCCAGAGUCUAUUUUCCAUAGCAACACGGAUCAAUGACACCUGCCUUCAUCUCCAUGGGAACGCACAUGUCCUUCUUUGACUACCUUCCCUCUCUUUUCUUUCAUUAAUCUCUCCCCAUUUCUCUGUCUCUCACUCUCUUUCUCUGAGCGUUAUACAAACCAUUUAUUUCCCUGCACAAAUAGGAAAUUAUCUAUAAUUUAUGAGCCCCACAUCUAUUUAUUAGUUCAGCAUGGAUUACUGUGGUCUGUGUAGGCUUCGGGAAAGUCACAUUUCUGUUAAUGAUCUCCCCAAGGUAAAUUUAACCACAAUUAGGCGGUAAAUAACAGCCCUGAACUGUCUGAUGAAAUGAUGAAGGCAAACCCUCCACCAGAGAAUCCUAGUACAGGCCCUGUAAUUUGCCCAAAUAAAAGGAAGAAAGCAAAACAAAAACAAAUUGAUUUUUUUUAGGUUUUCAAAAGCCCUGCUCUAGAAUUUCCAACCCUGCACAUUCAGCAAUAACAAGUUGUUAGGUCUACAUCGAGGAGAAAUGCUUUGUUGUUCGUUUUUGUCUUUUGUUUCCCAGCCUGACUCAUGACAUUCGUAGGAAGAGAUGGGUAGGAAGCAUCCUUGAGUUUAAUAUAAACACGUAAUUAAAAGGAUAAUAAAUAACUAGAACUUGCUGGCCCUAAACAUUCACUUUCAGAUAUCUAUCAAGAAUAAAGCCAUUAGUUUUACCAAACACAGAAUACAGAAAACUAUUAUUAUAAUAAUAAGAUGAAUUAACAUUAUUAUGGCAUGAUAUAGAUUUUUACUUGUGUCGUUAUUAUUUUUAGACCAAUUAAUGUGAUACAUUUGUGACAUGUAAACCUAUAGCCUAAUGAAAUGAUAAAUAUGACUAUAUAUAAUGCAAGUAAGGUCUUAAUCACAGUAAGAUGUUUACAUGACACAAGAAAACCUAUUUACUCCAAUUUUACAUGCAAUUUUCAUAAUUCUGAUUAUUUACAAAAAUACUUUUUAUAUUUUGUCAAUAUUGCAUAUAAUAGUUAAAGGUGCCAUAGGUGAUUGUCUUCAGAAACAUUUUUUGUUAUUCUGGUUGAAAGUCUCUUCACAUCCUGAAAGCAAUCUGUAAUGGGGCGAACGAGACGUGAGACGUGCGGAUCCAUUUGCAAGCUUUAUUAAACAAAGACGUGGUCAAAAACACAAGCAGGGUCAAAACAUCAGCACACAGGUAUGGCACAGACGAGAUACAAGAAUAAUGCAAAACCAGGCGUGAGUCAGUCGACAGCGAUUGUUAUCCAGGGGGCUUGACAAGAGGGGUAAUCCGGAAAUAUGAGCAAUAGUCCCGGCGAGGCAUAAACAGAGUCCGAACGGCGAGACAAGGAUAAAUCCAGGAAACAUAGACUAGAAAACAAGAAACAGGUUCCGUAUCGCAGCUAAAACUAGGAGAGUAAUAAAUGCAGAACAAUACUGGAACUAAACAGGAACACAGAAUGGCUCGGUUAGGCAGCUAACACUAGGAGAGUGCUAUACGCAGAACAAUACUCGGCGAUCUGAACAAGGAAGUCCAUGGUUUAUGUAGAGUGUGUGAUUGUGUGAUAGUUCUCAGGUGUGAGCGUAUGAUAGUGAAAUGGCUGCUGGGAAAUGUAGUCUGGGGUAAUGUGAAACAGUCUGUGCAAUGUGAGAGUCAAUGUGAUGGAGGAGUGACCUCUGGUGGCGAGUGAAUGGAAGUCCAUGGACCGGAUUCAUGACAGCAAUCAUUAAGUUGAAGGGGUGGUUGAUUGCGAUUUCACUUUUUUAACAUUAGUUAGUGUGUGAUGUUGCUGUUUGAGCAUAAACAAUAUCUGCAAAGUUACGGCGCUGAAAGUUCAAUGCAAACGGAGAUAUCGUCUUUUAAAAUUCUGGCAUUUUAAUGCCUACAAAAACGACUGGUAAGGGACUACAACGAGUUACUUCCCGGGUCCGUUACGUCACGAACCCAGAUAAACCCCGCCUCCGGUAACACAAACAGAGGGGGCAAGGCCAUGCUGCGCUGCUUUAGAGAAGAGGAAGAGAAAACUAGGAGUGCACGUAAACAUCUAUUCAUAUAUGAAUCGCGAUUCUGCCUUCUAACGAUUCUAAUGGAUUCACAAGUUUCAAAAUCAUGUUCUAAAGCAGCAAUUCUUAAUACUGUUCCUCGCGUCACCCUGCUCUGCAGUCUGCACACGCACUGCAUCUCUCUCUCUCUCUCUCCAACAAUAAAAUGUUCCAUUUAUACACUUAUUUUCACACAGCUAUGACAAGCGUUAAACAUGGACAUGCGUGUGGUUGCUGUACUGUAUUAAAGCUUUAAUCAGGAUAAAACCGUAUAUUAAAAGCUAACAGAAGCAGUAGCACCUACAAAUAACAGCAUAUCUAAAAGUAUGAGACAACAACAAACAAAAAACAAACCAUUAAAAGCCGUGCUUGCACAGGUUCUGAGCGAUCCUCUUCACUAAUAUCCUCUGCGUCUCAAUCGGGCUCAAAUUGAUAAGCAAUAUUGACGACACCAUUGUUUACAAUACAACCAGAGCACAUGUCGCUGAGCUGAGGGGCGGGACGUUUAGAUGCCACUAGAGGCGGUUUAGCCAAUCCGAGCGUUUUAAUUGGCUUUCCUACCUGCCUGUCAACGUAUGUAUUUACAUACCUCUGCACACCCUGUUCGCGCAGACAGAAACGUCAUCAGCGCGUUCACGCACACUGUGCGGACAGAGUGAGAAUGGCGGGCAAACAUCAACAACCCGAUCUUCCUUCCUGGUAUUGUAGUACUUUUACUAACUGUGCUAUAAAGCUUUCUCACCGGUGAAUGACACAUGAUGUAGCCCAGCGCGGUUCCCAGUUCCAGUCCUCGCGCCCCCAGCUCUGCAUAUUUUGCAUGUCUUGCUUAGUUAACAAACUCUGUUCAGAUAACCAGCUCGUUAGAAGUGAGCUCCGUGCAUGACCUGUGUUCCGAUUGACAUGCUCCCUACACAGUGUUCAUUGCUCUCUACUCCCUGAGCAGGGAAAUCCGUUGAAGUUUAUUUCACUUCGGAACAUUCACUUACGGAUUUGCGCUGCGCAGCGUCUUCACACACAGACAAAACUUACUAGAGAAGUGUUAAGUGUGACAUAAUAUACCUCUGUAAAUGAAUAAAAUUUAAAUUCACGUCUCGCACACUUUAAUGCCCUUUGUAUGGAACAUAUGCUUUGAACUGGAAUCAUGGAGGAAUAUCUGGUGAUGUUCACUUCGCAGGGGGCGUGGCUUUGGACGGUGAUUGCAGGAAGGGUGGGAUGUUCGCUUUCAGUGCUAUCAGGCUAAAGUUAGCAUCUCCUAUGGCACCUUUAAGUGGCUUGCUGUUACUAUGUUUGCUUCCUCAGAUAAAUGCAAUUUUGACCCCAAAAUUUUGAAUGGUGUAAAUAGUGUAUACUUAUAUGUCUAAUAAAAAAAGAUACUUUUAAGACACCCAUCCUUUUGUUUUUGGCUUCCAUUUCAUGUGUUCACGCCUUAAUUAGGGUCCCCCUCAAACCUGCGCACACUUCCAUCUCCACGUCAGUUGUUUAUAGCACUGAUCUUUGCUCUGAUUUCUGCUUUCUUGAAUCAUUUAUAGAAUUUCCAAGAACAAUUAAAAACAGUAAUGAUGACCAGGAAAGAAUAGGACAGAGAGAGAGAAAGAAGGAGUGGAGGUUGUCAAAUAAAAUAUGUAUCUAUUAGCUUGCAGCUGGUCUGCUGUGUUCUUAAUUAGGCAUGUCCUGAGGCUAUCAUGUCUGAAUGGAUUACGCCCUAAAUUCUCUAAAACACACAAACACAUACAUACCCACACACACCAUAUGCCACACAGUCUGUGGCCUGUGUGAUCUUCCUGCCAUCCUUUCUCUGACGCUUAUCCAAACCCCAUCACAGAGUUAUUGGCAUGUGUGAGAGACAGAAACAGAGUACUACCACCAUCCACUGCCUCCUAGACUCAAAUCAAUGAACCGUCUUUGCGUAUUCAGUUUAUUACUUUUUUUGUUUUGUCUUGCAGGAACAGACCUUUCUGUUAUCUGAACCGCUGUUGGGGCGCUUGUGACCUUGACAACCAAAUCUGCACUGUUUGUGCUGGUGCGCUGUCAAGCCCACUGCCGCUGUGUCAUUUGUGGCAGCUAAAUUGAAGGAGUGCUCUAAUCGUCUCCCACACGUCUUGCCCCUCGCCACGCGUGCGGGAAGCCCCGGGCGGCCAGCCCGCUCAUUCCGCUGUCUGUCUUCUUGCCCACAAACAUCCUAUCAUCAACAAUGACCUAAAGCCACACAGCAUCUGCUGCAUGAAAGAUGUUGAUUUUAUUGGCAAAACACGGCUCCUUUGGGUUAUGGUCCACUUCGUGUGAGCAUUAUGAUGAAGACCACAAACUAUAACUCACAUCGAUGGGAUUCACUUCAUAUGUGAAGACACAGCUAACAUAACACACAAAAAUGGACCACAGGCAUGGGUUUCUCAACGGCCUGGAUGAAAAAAAGCCUGUGUUUUUGCACCCCAGUGACAGGUGGACGGGUGUAUUGACUGUCAUAGAGAACAACAGAGCACAACAUAAAGCAUGGGGCCCGUGGACACUCGGGUCUGUACGGAAAAUCAAAAUCUUAAGUUUCCUUUUUGGACUUAUGGUCACCAUUCUCAUCAUGGCGUCCUACAUCUUGACGAGGGACCAGAAAGGGCUCUUUUUAACACCAUCACCGUAUCACCUUACUGUGGAGUCUCAUCCGGCUCAGCUGCACCUUAAUCUGUCCUUUGCUACAGACUACACAGUUGUGAGAGAGGUGGUGAGGAGCAUUGUGGCCAAAGUGGAUUUCAGUCAGAGAAGAGUGCCUGACCUGAGACAAGUGAGAGAGAAAGAGCCAAACAUAUUCUCUGCCAUUUCUCGCAAAUUUCUUCCCCAUCUCAAGAACCCCUGUUGGUAUGAAGAAUUCUUUGGGAAUGUCACAGCUGAUCCUUAUGGGAAAAACCUGUAUGCUCUUUAUUCAAAGCGCUUCCAAGCAAUAUACGACCACCUGCGCAGAGCGUUUCCAGCUCACCUGCAUCAGCACGCAGGUAGACAGUAUCGCCUGCGCUGCCUGCCCUUCUUUUACAUCAUCGGCCAGCCCAAGUGUGGCACCACGGAUCUCUACGACCGGUUACGGCUACAUCCAGAGGUCCAUUUCACCACUAUGAAGGAGCCACACUGGUGGACACGAAAGAGAUUUGGUAUCAUCAGGUUGAGUAAUGGUUUCCAUAACCCCUAUCCACUGAAUGACUACCUGGAUCUUUUUGACCAAGCAGCCAAUCAGAUUCAAGAUCACUUGACAAGCAACUCCUCCAAAACCCACAAAAAAGUCGACAUCAUAAUUGGUGAGGCGAGUGCAUCCACAAUGUGGGACAAUAACGCUUGGGUUUAUUUCUAUGACAACGGAACGGAAGUAGAGCCUCCUUUUCUGGUGCAAGACUUCAUUCAUGCUGUCCAACCAGAUGCCAGAUUCAUUGUGAUGCUCAGAGACCCAGUAGAAAGGCUUUACUCAGACUAUCUGUACUUUGGCAUGGCUAAUAAAUCUGUGGAGGAUUUUCAUGAACGAGUCUCAGAGUCGUUGCACCUGUUUGAGGGCUGCUUGGCUGAGAGGUCCAUCCGUUCCUGCAUUUACAAUACCACUCUCAACAACCUGAUGCCAGUGAGGCUUCAGGUGGGACUAUAUGUCAUAUACCUGCUGGACUGGCUGAGUGUUUUCAGUAGAGAGCAGAUACUCAUCUUACGACUUGAGGAUCAUGCUGCCAACCGAAAAAUCACUAUGCGGAGAGUCUUUGAAUUUCUACAGUUGGGACCUCUUACUCUGCAGAAGGAAGCAGACAUCACAAAGAGCCCUGCCUCCAACACCAGACGACCAGCCAAUCGAAAUCUUGGCCCAAUGCUGCCCAUAACCAAGGAGAUCCUGCAGAGCUUCUACGAGCCUUUUAACCAGCACCUGGCCCAAGUGCUAAGGGAUCCUGCCUUUUUGUGGAUGUAGCCCUGAAGGAGAGGGGAUGCACAGACAUGUAUUAUUGUAAUAGAAAAAAGUGACACAGAACUCAAAUUUAAAACUAAAUUAGAUUUGUUAGGCCAAUGCUGGGUGGCUGGUAUCACCUUUGGCCAGAAUUCAAAUGUAAGAAAAUAUUUUCAAUUCUAGUCAAUUAUAUAGUUAUACCACUGACUUCAUUUUUAUUCUUUUUUUCCUUGGUUAUUUGGUGCUGGACACAUUCAUUAUUGCACUUUGAUACUGUGAGAGUAUUUGGUCAGGAUGACCACUGAGAAAUUAAUAGACAAUUUAUUUAAUGUAUUUGUUGUAAGGCCUUGGAAGCCAAGGUGUUUCUACAAAAUGAAAGGAUAUAUAUAAACAGGAUAGAUAGGGGUCAAAAAUUAAUAUACACUCAACAAACGUCAAUUAAUAAAAAAGUGUCAGUGUUUUAGCUCUGAGGAGAAUGUAAGAGGACCUAGUGUUGCUGGAAGAUAUGGACCUGUAAUAUAAAGGACAAUAUAAAGGGUUGUGGAAACUGAGCACAAAAGCCAUCCUGGACAUUGAACUGGGUGAAUGAAACCUGAUGUCAAUGUAAUGUAAUUUUAAUGUUUUAAUCUGUUAUUGUGACUGUACAGAGAUAAGGGCAAGAAUAGAUUAAUUCCAAGUUAAUUCAACUUUGAUAUCUUCUGACUGAAUUGCAAUAAAUAUUGCUUUUUUAUAUUUGCUUCUCUAAAACCCAAUAAUUUGUCUGGAGACCUUGGUGAUGGUCAAUAAAUAAAGUUAGAUAAAAUUAGAUAAAAAUAUUUUUAUGUAACAAGCUAAGUCAAUGAUAAUAUACAUGGAUACUAAUAUUAAUAAAAUAUUUUUUCUAAGACUGUCAAGUCAAUAGCUUACCAUAUUUUAUCACUCGUAUGUUACAUUUUAGAAAUGUUCUAGUAAAAAUAUUUAAUUACUCUAACAAAGACUGAAUGAUCAGAGUGUUUAAAAUGAUGAAAGUCUACUACAGUAUAAUGAAAUAUUGGUGAUUUAGGUAUAUGCUGCUCGAAUGCCAACCAAUAGUUUCUCACCUCCUCACAGUGCAUUUAAAGAACUGAUAUCCUUCAUGAUCCCGGAGAGAGGGAAUAUCGAAUCCAUAUCCCAAAUGGCCAACUUCGCGCUCUUUCUCUAAUACACUAUGGUGACGUCAUGCCGCAUAGACAGUCGGAUAUCACUGCGCUAACGGUAAAAGUGACGUCGUGGCCGCAAUGGCGGCGCUCGUGAAUAUCUACGGCCUUGUGGACUUUAACAUAUGGACUUAAGGGCAUUAGGCGGCCAGUAGUGUAUUCCUGAGUACCUUGUACUCGGACUUUCUACUCAUUUGGCGAAUUGCUUUUAGCGUACGUUACAGUAGGCCUAGUAAACAUACUCUGAUGCAGAGUCCAUUUUCACGCGCCAAAUUUAAAUAUGCGACAGAGUAAGAUUAGAGGGCAGUGUCAGAUUUCUGAAGAUUUUAAGUUAACCACAACUUCAAUUUCAGUCAGUUCUUCACACAUAUUAGAAGUUUUGGAGUAGUUAUAAUUCAUAAAUCACAUGGGUUACGCCUAAGGGCAACCGUUAAUUUUUUGCAUCAUCGGGGGUGGAACUGGACUUACAGGGUCUCCUGGUGGGCCUCUGGUGUCAUGCCAAAUGCCUUGGAACCAAAGGAGUAACCAUUUGUGAUGCUCAAUGAUCAUUGUAUGUAAGGCAGAGUUUGAACCGUGACAUGGUGGAGGGCAGCGCUGCCGUCAGUCUGAACUCAAUGCCGGGCAGUAAUGGUGGCUCUUAGUCAAACCUGAAGUCCUGGGGUACCACAGCGUUCCCUGUGCAGAAGAAAGAAAGUCAUAGAGGAUUGGAACAACAUGAGG